UUCAUGGAGAGUUUGAUCCUGGCUCAGGACGAACGCUGGCGGCGUGCCUAAUACAUGCAAGUCGAGCGGACAGAUGGGAGCUUGCUCCCUGAUGUCAGCGGCGGACGGGUGAGUAACACGUGGGUAACCUGCCUGUAAGACUGGGAUAACUCCGGGAAACCGGGGCUAAUACCGGAUGCUUGAUUGAACCGCAUGGUUCAAUUAUAAAAGGUGGCUUCGGCUACCACUUACAGAUGGACCCGCGGCGCAUUAGCUAGUUGGUGAGGUAACGGCUCACCAAGGCAACGAUGCGUAGCCGACCUGAGAGGGUGAUCGGCCACACUGGGACUGAGACACGGCCCAG
rnacentral:rRNA from 1 species